rnacentral:rRNA from 1 species
CAAUAGCGUAUAUUAAAGUUGUUGCGGUUAAAAAGCUCGUAGUUGGAUUUCUGUCGGAGACGCGCGGUCCGCACUAUGUGCGUGUAUCUGUGUCGGCUCUGGCAUCCUCCUGGGGAACGGUGCUGCGCUUGAUUGCGUGGUCCGGUAUUCAGGACUUUUACUUUGAGGAAAUUAGAGUGUUUACGGCAGGCAAGCGCCUUGAAUAUAUUAGCAUGGAAUAAUAACAUAGGACUUUGGUUCUAUUUUGUUUGGUUUCUUAGAACUAAGGUAAUGAUUAAUAGGGAUAAUUGGGGGCGAUUCGUAUUAACACGUCAGAGGUGGAAUUCUUGGAUUGCGUUACGACGAACUACUGCGAAAGCAUUUGUCCAAAGAUGUUUUCUAUUGAUCAAGAACGAAAGUAAUGGGA